rnacentral:lncRNA from 1 species
GACGUUGGAACUUGCGGGCUCACCAGGAUCAUGCACGGGAAAUCUUACGGCCACACCGACUGGGUCACUUGCCUGGAUCAUCUGCCAGACGGAAGAAUCGUUAGCGGCGGAAUGGACAACAAGCUAUGCCUGUGGGACAAACGAGGUGUUCGAAGCAGGGACCUCAAAGGACACACUGCGUCUGUGUCGGGAGUUAAAGCCGGUGUUUUCAACCAAGGGAGUAUAGCAGUCAGUGCGAGCUAUGACAGGACUUUAAUCCUCUGGGAUCUGGGAGGACCUUCGGGGAGAGAGGUAGCAAAGCUGGCAGGACACAAGGCACCAGUCAUGGAAUUCGCAGGAACGCCGAGAGGGAGGCUUGUGAGUGGCUGCAGGGACGGGACUGUGAUACUCUGGGACGUGGACGGGAGGUCUCCCGUCUUGCAGUGCAAGAACGCUCAUAAAGGCCACGUUACAGCGUUAAAGGCAGUAGAGGAGGAGGCAGGGGACGUGUUUCUCUCAGGAGGGCAGGAUGGCUUACUUCAAGUCUGGGACUCUCGAUGCAGGCAGCCAGUCCACACUGCUUGUCUCCACAGGCACUCCCUGAAAGAUUUUCUUGUUAGAAAAGCACUAAAGAAUGUCUACUUUUACUUUCCAGAUCUGCAAAAGGCGUUGGAGCACUCACCUGCAUUGCAGUGGCGAAGAACACAACCUGUGGAUGUCCCCUGGUCACAACAGCAGGCGCGGACAGAGUACUGAAGGUCCUUGACGUAAGAGCGUCCUUUAAUGCGGUCUUUACUCUGGAAGAUCACCAGGAUUUUAUAUACAGCCUCUACAUGAAUGGUACGUAAGCCAAAAGAGAAAACGAAAAGAAACUAGGAGAACUUACAGAGAAAAAUGGAACAGGCUCGCUGGCUUGGAGCGGUGGAGGCGACGGAUCUCUUCUGGUGCACGACGUUGAGCGCGGUAAGUGCCUCUAUGGCUUGGGAGCGAUCAAAAACGGUGCCGUGAGAGGAAUCUCUCU